UACGUAGGGGGCAAGCGUUGUCCGGAUUUAUUGGGCGUAAAGAGCGUGUAGGCGGCUUUACAGGUCCGUUGUGAAAACUCGAGGCUCAACCUCGAGACGCCGGUGGAAACCGUAAAGCUAGAGUCCGGAAGAGGAGAGUGGAAUUCCUGGUGUAGCGGUGAAAUGCGCAGAUAUCAGGAGGAACACCGGUGGCGAAGGCGGGUCUCUGGGCAGUAACUGACGCUGAGGAGCGAAAGCGUGGGGAGCGAACAGG
rnacentral:rRNA from 1 species